GUAUUUUAUAAUUUAUUUUUAUAUUUUUUUUAAUUCACCACUAAUUGUGAUUACUCCAAAAUAUGCCCAAGAUAGAAAGUGAAUAAAAAUCAUAAUUCAGUUUUACUACAAUUGAGAUGAAUAGACUAUGGAAAGUAUUUGUUGUGUAGAUUAUCAGAUCAUAAAUAAAUAACAAAAACAAAAAAAAAUUAUCAUAUAUGCAUAUACGUUCACUAUGGAUCUUUAGAUUUCAUGAGCUGCUAAAUAAAACAUAACCAAUGAGUUUUAAUUUAGUGGUAUUAAAAUUGUCUCUACGUAAACAAAUACAUCUCCUUUUUUCGUUCAUACACUAUUUCUGAUCUUCUGUUUUUGUACUGCUAAGUGCUAAUGUUCUUCAAUUUCCGAGCAGAUUUUGCAGCAUACUCUUGCAUGGCAAUGGUGUUAUAUAUAAACUUUUAAUUUUCAUUUUGUAGG
rnacentral:misc_RNA from 1 species